rnacentral:tmRNA from 1 species
GGGGACGACUGGUUUUGACAGCAAGGACAGUGAAUUUGUAAGCAUAUCGAGUUAUGAAAUAACACUCGUUAAACCUAAUUUCAACUUUUUAAACGGCGAAGAUAACUACGCUUUAGCUGCAUAAUCUGAAUUAAUAGUAAGAUUAGCCUCGGCACACAAGGUGUGCAAGCUUUAUGUCCACGAAAAGCCUUGGUUUAUGGCGUUUCACUUUUGGGCAUCGUAAAAAUAAACAUAGAAAACCUGUAGCUUUGGCGGGUUUUUGAAACUAAAGAAGAUAAGUUUAAAGUGGAUUGUUCUUAAUCAGCUUUAGAUCGAAAAUUAAAUAAGAACUAAAUAUGUAGAAAGCUUUUUGGCUGCUUGUUUGGACCCGAGUUCGAUUCUCGGCGUCUCCACUU